UUAGGCUAGUGCCGCUGCAUUUCGGCGAUGAGGCUAGCUCUAUAUCUUGUUAUAUAUGGUUUUCUCUGCUUGAUUGUUUUUCGUCAGAGCAUGCUUUCUUUCUUUCUUUCUUUGACAAAACAUGUGCUUGUUUUCUAUCAAGAUUUACCAGCUGCAUUCCUAGUCCUACCAACAUUCCCAAGGAUGCCCAAUUGUCCACUCUUUCAUUUUGCAAAACUUCAUUCAAAAGAAAUCACUGCCGUCUAGCUUUGAGCAAUGCUAUCUAGCAGUAAUUAUGGACCGCUUCAUUCAAAAGAACAUUUUGUGUCUAGCUGGAGAUUUGUCGUAAAGUUUAGUUUGGGCAAUUGCUACUGAAUUAAUUAGGACUAGUAACCAACUGUUAACGAAGGAAUAUGAAAGAAGUGCAGUUCAAGUUAUACAAGUCGAAUCCAACACCUUGCAAGGAUCGCAACUUUUCUUGCCCAAAUCUUUGUCAAUUCCAUCGGGCUAAUUAACAAUCGAUGUCUUGCACGAAAGGAGGAAGAUCUGUCUAUGCAAAUUCUCCAGCCAACCGCUGCCAAUAGAUUAUUUCAAGAAUCUAAACAUGGGCCAGAACUGGGCCAUGCAAAGCCUGCUCUCCUAGCUAGGUUGGGCCGGUCUGGCUGUAAAUGAUAGGAAUAAGUUCACUUUGUGACCCUCAAAAUGAUCGAAAUUUAAUCCGUGACCCCAAACCACAGAACCGGAUAUCUCAACCCCUAACUCUCGAAACCGGUGCAAUUUGACUCCCUGGGUGGUUUUGGAUGGCGGUUUCGCUGACGUGGCGCCUACGUGACGGUUUUAACUCGGUCUUCUUUCCACGUGACGUUGACGUGGCGCUUACGUGGUAUUAGAAAUAAAAAAAUAUGUGUAGGACCCAUUUGUCAUACACACGGAAAAAAAUGUGGGAGCCCCUGUCAUGUGGAGCCCACAUAAUCCUCUCCUCCCCAUCUUCCUCCUCCCUUCUCUCCUCUCCACGGACGAUGGAGUCUGCGCCGACUUGCCGCCGGCCACCGCCUUGGCCGCCGCCACAGACGGCAUCACCAACACCCCUCUCCCGCGGGUUGUCGUCGGCCUCCCCCACCCCUCCCCGCGGAGACGUUGCCAGCGCACCCGGCGGCAGGCGGGAGGGCGGGCGCUGGAGCAGCGGCGACGACGACCCCUUCUCUCUUGCUCUCCUUCCUUCUUCAAGCGGUGUGGCGACGAGGAGCAGCCGCGGAGCAUGAUUCCUGCGGCGGAGAUGGCGAUGGCGCAGUGGAGGCCGAUCGGCCUCGAGGUAGCGCGUCGUGGCGGCCCACGGGGUGAGGCAGGCGUGGAGGACGCGGUGGACCGGGUGGAGGAAGAGGUGGAACGCAUGUGGGGGCGAGGAGGAAGCGACCGGCAUCAAUUAUCACGACGAGCUGCUUUGGGUGUUCGUCCACGCCGAUAUCGGCUACUGCUUUUCUGACUCGCGCCACCACAGCCUGCCAUAACUCCAAUCCAGCAUCCAGCCAGAUGUACAGCGGAUCUUGGCUAUCUCCGAGAUAUACAGCGGUGAUGCCUGCAUGACAAUCACCGGUGAGAUGAAUCAAGAACUGAUAUAGAAUUUCUCCAGUCUCUAUGCCACGGCUCAGAGAAAGGCACCCGCCUGCCGCCGCCGGAAUCAUGCUCCGCGGCUGCUCCUCGUCGCCACACCGCUCCUCCUCGUCGUUUCUGUUUCGCCGGAACAUCUCCGCCGCUGGCCCCCAUCCCACGGCCGCCGCUCGCCAACGGAAGAGAAAGAGAGAGGGGGAGGAUGAGGAGAGAAUGAUUUACGUGGGCCCCACAUGUCAGUGGGUCCCACCCAUACUUUUGGUGAAUGACAAAUGAGUCCCACAUAUAUUUUUUAUUUCUAACAUCA